rnacentral:lncRNA from 1 species
GUCCAUUGGAGAAUAUUAUGAUACAUAAACAAGAGGAUAGCUGUGUUUCAUUGGAAAUGUGUGUGAGCCUAACUCGUAAGCCAUGUCUCUGGAGAUGGCCCAAUGGGAACAUCUGUGCAUGAUGAGGUAACCCAUAAGGACAGCCUCCCCUCUAAGAUAGUGUUGACGGUGAAGAUGGCUCCAUUCCAUGGUUUCCUGCAUAGGUCAACACCAGGGAGAAGAUCACCACUACCAGGGGACCAGAGAGUUUCUUCCAAGCGCAU